UGAUCCUGGCUCAGGAUGAACGCUAGCGGCAGGCUUAAUACAUGCAAGUCGAACGGGAAAGGGACUUCGGUCCUGAGUAAAGUGGCGCACGGGUGCGUAACGCGUAUGCAACCUACCUUUAUGAUCGGGAUAACAGUCGGAAACGGCUGCUAAUACCGGAUACGCUCAAAAUGAACUUUUUGAGGAAAGGUGACCUCUGCUUGCAUGUUACCGUAUAAGGAUGAGUCCGCGUCCCAUUAGCUAGUUGGUGAGGUAACGGCUCACCAAGGCAACGAUGUCUAGGGGUCCUGAGAGGGUUAUCCCCCACACUGGUACUGAGACACGGACCAGACUCCUACGGGAGGCAGCAGUAAGGAAUAUUGGUCAAUGGGCGCAAGCCUGAACCAGCCAUGCCGCGUGCAGGAAGACGGCCCUUGGGUUGUAAACUGCUUUUGUCAGGGAAUAAACCGCACUGUGCUAAUCAGCAGUGCCUUGACGGUACCUUCAAAGGAAGCACCGGCGUUAUCCGGAUUCAUUGGGUUUAAAGGGUGCGCAGGCGGAUUGGUAAGUCAGGGGUGAAAUCCCAAAGCGCACGUAGGCUGCUUUGUAAGUCAGGGGUGAAAUCCCACGGCUCAACCGUGGAACUGCCUUUGAUACUGCUUAGCUUGAAUCCGGGAGAGGGUGGCGGAAUUCCAGGUGUAGGAGUGAAAUCCGUAGAUAUCUGGAGGAACAUCAGUGGCGAAGGCGGCCACCUGGACCGGUAUUGACGCUGAGGUGCGAAAGCGUGGGGAGCAAACAGGAUUAGAUACCCGGAUACACAGUCAGCGUUGAGCGAAAGCAAUAAGUAAUCCACCUGGGGGACGAUCGCAGAUUGAAACUUCAAAGGAAUUGACGGGGCCCGCACCAANCGGAGGGA
rnacentral:rRNA from 1 species